CAAUGGUCUGUUUCCGUGCUGU
rnacentral:miRNA from 1 species